CUUGGUCAUUUAGAGGAAGUAAAAGUCGUAACAAGGUUUCCGUAGGUGAACCUGCGGAAGGAUCAUUACCGAGUUCAUGCCCUCACGGGUAGAUCUCCCACCCUCUGUAUACCAUACCUUUGUUGCUUUGGCGGGCCGCCUAGCUACUGGCUUCGGCUGGUAAGUGCCCGCCAGAGGACCCAAAACCCUGAAUAUUAGUGUCGUCUGAGUAAAAUUUUAAUAUUUAAAACUUUCAACAACGGAUCUCUUGGCUCUGGCAUCGAUGAAGAACGCAGCGAAAUGCGAUAAGUAAUGUGAAUUGCAGAAUUCAGUGAAUCAUCGAAUCUUUGAACGCACAUUGCGCCCCUUGGUAUUCCGAGGGGCAUGCCUAUUCGAGCGUCAUUAUCACCCCUCAAGCUUCGGCUUGGUGUUGAGGCCUGCUGUAAAGGCACCCUCUAAAAUCAGUGGCAGUGCUGUCAGGCUCUAAGCGUAGUAAUUUCAUCGCUAUAGGGUCCUGGUGGAUACUCGUCAAAACCCCCCCAUUUUUUAAUGAUUGACCUCGGAUUAGGUAGGGAUACCCGCUGAACUUAAGCAUAUCAAUAAGCGGAGGAAAAGAAACCAACAGGGAUUGCCUCAGUAACGGCGAGUGAAGCGGCAAAAGCUCAAAUUUGAAAUCUGGCUCUUUUAGGGUCCGAGUUGUAAUUUGUAGAAGAUGUUUCGGGUGUGGCUCCGGUCUAAGUUCUUUGGAAUAUUACAUCAUAGAGGGUGAGAAUCCCGUAUGUGACCGGCAGCCUUCGCCUAUGUGAAACUCUUUCGACGAGUCGAGUUGUUUGGGAAU
rnacentral:sRNA from 1 species